UACAGAGGGGGCAAGCGUUAUUCGGAAUUAUUGGGCGUAAAGGGCGCGUAGGCGGCUUUGCAAGUGGCGGGUGAAAUCCCUCGGCUUAACCGAGGAACUGCCUGUCAAACUGCAUGGCUUGAGACCAGGAGAGGUGAGUGGAAUUCCCAGUGUAGCGGUGAAAUGCGUAGAUAUUGGGAGGAACACCAGUGGCGAAGGCGGCUCACUGGACCGGAACUGACGCUGAGGCGCGAAAGCGUGGGGAGCAAAGCAGG
rnacentral:rRNA from 1 species